rnacentral:rRNA from 1 species
CGAAAGCCUGACGGAGCAACGCCGCGUGAGGGAUGAAGGCCUCUGGGCUGUAAACCUCUUUUAUCAAGGAAGAAGAUCUGACGGUACUUGAGGAAUAAGCCACGGCUAAUUCCGUGCCAGCAGCCGCGGUAAUACGGGAGUGGCAAGCGUUAUCCGGAAUCAUUGGGCGUAAAGCGUCCGCAGGCGGCCUUGAAAGUCUGUCGUUAAAGCGUGGAGCUUAACUCCAUUUCAGCGAUGGAAACUACAAGGCUUGAGUGUGGUAGGGGCAGAGGGAAUUCCCGGUGUAGCGGUGAAAUGCGUAGAUAUCGGGAAGAACACCAGUGGCGAAGGCGCUCUGCUGGGCCAUAACUGACGCUCAUGGACGAAAGCCAGGGGAGCG